rnacentral:rRNA from 1 species
CCUACGGGCGGCAGCAGUGAGGAAUAUUGGUCAAUGGGCGCGAGCCUGAACCAGCCAAGUAGCGUGAAGGAUGACUGCCCUACGGGUUGUAAACUCCUUUUAUAAAGGAAUAAAGUGAGGCACGUGUGUCUUUUUGUAUGUACUUUACGAAUAAGGAUCGGCUAACUCCGUGCCAGCAGCCGCGGUAAUAUGGAGGAUUCGAGCGUUAUCCGGAUUUAUUGGGUGUAAAGGGCGCGUAGCUGGGUUGUUAAGUCAGUUGUGAAAGUUUGCGGCUCAACCGUUAAAUUGCAAUUGAUACUGGCAGUCUUGAGUGCAGUUGAGGUAAGCGGAAUUCGUGGUGUAGCGGUGAAAUGCUUAGAUAUCACGAAGAACACCGGUGGCGAAGGCAGCUUACUAGACUGCCACUGACAUUGAUGCUCGAAAGUGUGGGUAUCAAACAGGAUUAGAUACCCUUGUAGUC